rnacentral:rRNA from 1 species
UACGGGGGGGGCAAGCGUUGUUCGGAAUUACUGGGCGUAAAGGGCCAGUAGGCGGCCAACUAAGUCGGAUGUGAAAUCCCCAGGCUCAACUUGGGAACUGCAUCCGAUACUGGAUGGCUUGAAUUCGGGAGAGGGAUGCAGAAUUCCAGGUGUAGCGGUGAAAUGCGUAGAUAUCAGGAGGAACACCGGUGGCGAAGGCGGCUCUCUGGACCUGUCCUGACGCUCAGGCGCGAAAGCUAGGGGAGCAAACAGG